CAGUCUCGGCCUCACCUUGUCGUCUCGGCCUCACCUCGUCGUCACUCUCAGUCUCGGCCUCACCUCGUCGUCACUCUCAGUCUCGGCCUCACCUCGUCAAUGGCAGAAAGUGUUCAUCAAAAAGCUCAGAAAGCUCAAAAAGCGUUCAUCUUCUGCGGCCUCACCUCUCCGUCACUCUCAGUCUCUGCUCCCUCGGGUCAUUUGGGUGGAAGUGGUGGUCGUCAGAAAGCUCAGAAAGCAUUCAUCUUCUGCCUCAGUGCCUCUGCUCCCUCAGAAUUUUAAAAAUGUCUUCAUCUCAAACACCAUCAGAAACGCCACCAUCUCAAGAACAACCAUCAUCAGCAACUCCUACCCCUGAUCUUAAUACGAAUUAUUCUUGAUAUUGAUUUGUCAAAAUACACAAAUGUAGAUCAAUUAAAUUUGGAAGAUGACCAAGAUAAUGAUGGACCAAGUAACAGCGCUAUGGAAGAUAUAGAUGCAAAUCAAAAUGAGAGAAAUGUUGAUCAAGCUCCUAAUUUGUCCUAUGAAGAUGUUGAUGCCGAUUUUGAGCUCACCCCUUGGACUUGAUUCAAUGAUUGUGUUAUCUUUAACUUGCUCUAUUUGAUUUAAAUUGAGAACAUAUUUUAUACUAGAGACUAGUUUAUUAACUCUUCUUUUAGAUUAUUAGUUAUGUUUAAGACUUGUUAUUUGAUUAUUAAUGUUUGUAAGACUCGCAUUUUAAGUUUUAAGACAUUAUUUUAAUUUUAUUAAUAUAAUUUUAUAUUUUUUUAGUUAUGACCGGGUUAACCGGGUGAAUUAGUGACCCACCGGUUGAACCAGUAAUCCGGUGACCCGGUCAUAUGACCGGGUUGAUUACCGGUUCGGUUCUG